rnacentral:lncRNA from 10 species
ACUGCUCAGGGUAAGAAAUAUGGGAUUUCAGAACCACAAACAAGGAUCCUCAUACAAUUAGUUAUAAAUAAACCCAGGCUGGUAUUAAACUCCUGACCUCAGGUGAUCCACCCGCCUCAGCCUCCCAAAGUGAUGGGACUACUGGCGUGAGCCACCGCGCCGUUGAAAGCUCAUCUCUACUAAAAAUACAAAAAUUAGCCAGGCAUGGUGGUCCCCUGUAAUUCCAGCUACUCAGGAGGCUGAGGCAUGAGAAUUGCUUGAACCCAGGAGGCAGGGGUUGCAGUGAGCUGAGAUUAUGCCACUGCACUCCAACCUGGGUGACACAGUGAGACUCAGUCUCAAAAAACAAACAAACAAACAAACAAACAAACAAACAAACCCAGCUGUGGCUGCUGUAAGUUGUAGAAGUUAGGGGAGGUAGGUGGGAGCAACCUCUCCCCACAACUUAACAGCAAAACACACAACAGGAAAAACCAAGAUUUUGAAUUCAGUACUAAGAAGGUUAAUACUUAGCAGCAGCUUUCCUCUGCAAAUGGUUAUUUCUGAACUUUGGUUACAGCCUUAAAAAAUUACAUAAACUGGAUUUUGGAGAAAUCACUUUCUUAAUGAGAAAAUCUUCACGGAAGCUAUCUCUGAUUAGCUCCUUCAUAUCUAAAGUAUUGACCUUCACUGGUAACCCUGAAUUCGUUAAGCCAAUGUGGCCCCUUAGAAGAAUAAUAUUUCUUUUUUCUUUUUUUUUUGAGAUGGAGUCUCGCACCGUCACCUAGCCUAGAGUGCAAUGGCACAAUCGCAGCUCACUGCAACCUUCGCCUCCCAGGUUCAUGUGAUUCUCCUGUCUCGCUGGUCUUGAACUCCUGACAUUCAGUGAUCCAUCUGCCUCAACCUCCCAAAGUGCUGGGAUUACAGGUGUGAGCCACCAUGCUCGGCAAGAGAAGAAUAAUAUUUCCACAUUCAUUUUGUAUUUUUAGUAGAGACAGGGUGUUGCAUGUUGGUUAGGCUGGUCUUGAAAUCCUAGCCUCAAGUGAUCCACCCACCUCGACCUCCCAAAGUGCUGGGAUUACAGGUGUGAGUCACUGCACCUGGCCAACCCUUUUCUCUAUAUUCCUAAAAUAAUGAUUUGGAAGGGGAUUACAGGUGUGCAACACCAUGCCUGCCUAAUUAUUGUAUUUUUAGUGUAGACGGGGUUUCAACAUGUUGGGCAGGCUGGUCUCAAACUCCUGGCCUCAAGUGAUCCUCCCACCUCAGUUUCCCAAAGUGCUGGAAUUACAGGCUUGAGCCACUGUGCCCGGCCUCAUUUAUUCCUUCUUAUUAGUUGCUAUUUUGGUUCAGUUUGCACCACUAUAGUCCUCUACUAGUACAAACAUUAAGGAUGAUCAUGGGAAUACAGAUUUGGCUGGUUAGCAAAAAUAUGAUAAAGGCAUAUCAGUAUUAGUUGUGAAACUUAAAUUAUUCUUGGCUGCUACAAAAAAGAAUUACAUACAUUCAGUUACAUAUUCUGAAUCUGACAAAAAUAUUUAGAUAGCUCGUAAUGAAAUAAGACAUUGAACUUCUUAUUUAUCAGGUUCCAUGAGGACUUUUUUUGAAAGUUGUAACAAGUCUUCUUAGCAAUUAAAAGAAAAAAUGAUAAACUCUUGUAUCUCCUAAAACAAACAUUUGGAAUGUUGUG